AAGAGGGAAGGCUUAGCCAUGUCGUCCUUGAUCAGAAGGGUGAUCAGCACCGCGAAAGCCCCAGGGGCCAUUGGACCCUACAGUGGUAGCAUUUAGAAAAACACUUUUACCUCCAAACAAGAGGGACACAACCAAAUCAAAAUGAUUAUUAGAGACACUUUGUCCUGGAGCCUGCUAAAGAGCAUACCCCUUCCUUGACCUAUUUAGAGAUACUCUGUGGACUUUGUUCAAGAAAGAAAGCAUAACAGUAAUGUUCCUGGUUGACUUGAAG
rnacentral:sRNA from 1 species